GGGGGGGGGGGGGGGGGGGGGGGGGGGGGGGGGGGGGGGGGGGGGGGGGGGGGUGGGGGGGGGUGCGCGGGUGGCGAGCGGGGGGGGAACACGUGGGUAACCUGCCCUUGACUGUGGGAGAACUUCAGGAAACUGGGGCGAAUACCGGAUAGGAGCUCCUGCUGCAUGGUGGGGGUUGGAAAGUUUCGGCGGUUGGGGAUGGACUCGCGGCUUAUCAGCUUGUUGGUGGGGUAGUGGCUUACCAAGGCUUUGACGGGUAGCCGGCCUGAGAGGGUGACCGGCCACAUUGGGACUGAGAUACGGCCCAGACUCCUACGGGAGGCAGCAGUGGGGAAUAUUGCACAAUGGGCGGAAGCCUGAUGCAGCAACGCCGCGUGCGGGAUGACGGCCUUCGGGUUGUAAACCGCUUUCGCCUGUGACGAAGCGUGAGUGACGGUAAUGGGUAAAGAAGCACCGGCUAACUACGUG
rnacentral:rRNA from 1 species